GGUAUAUUUUAGCCGAAGAGGCCGUUGGUCUGGCUCUAAAUACAGAAGAGAAUGUUCAACGCGAUUUGGGCGACGAUUAAAACCGCCCAGUGAGGUGUUCGACCGAACGAAGGGGUUCAAGAACGACGAAGACACACGACUAUUUCUGUCUCGAAGUAUCAUCGCUCAACAUUUCCUUUCACCUCUGACAUCCAUCUCGUUAAUUAGCAUUUUCCUUCAUGCACGUCGCAACAAUAACCGUAAUAUACCUAACUAUCGGCUGACCAAUGAAGCGGCAAGAAGCAUUUUGGGACAACAAUGACGCAAAGGAAACGAUCAACGUGGGUUAGGCCGCAACAUCGCGUGACAACGGUGCAACGGUAGAUCCGGAAACAAGUAGAACAAGUAGAAGAAGGUGUGGCAGACUGUGUACAAUCUAUGAGAUAAAAUGAAAACUAAAAGAAAAAAAGAACCGAUCGGCCGGAAAAAAAGAAAAGCUCGAAGGAGAUAUGCGAAAAAACAAUCGAUACGGUGCUCGGAUCCGAUGGAUGGAAUCCAAUGAUGACGACGAUGAUAACUUCGUGCGUGAACGUGACGUGAGAAAACAUGAAGAAACGUGAAGUGGAAAUGAGAAGACGAAGCUGUGCACAGCGUUACGAGCAACCAAUCGAUAAAUAUUUAAGAUGACGAUGACAACGAAAAAAGGAAACGAAAGAAACACAAGUGCGAACGUGAGGAACAAAAUUCUAGAAGAGAAUGUUCCAGUGUGUUAACGCAGUUAACACGACCGUUCGACAAAUCAAACU
rnacentral:misc_RNA from 1 species